CACCGGCCUCAGCAGCAGCUGCACCGACCGGGAAGGGAAGCACGGCGCGCGAAAGGGCACCGGGGAGAGGAGAUCGCCAGUGUGUGCCCGUCAGAGGCGCAGAGGAAAACACUGCCUCACUCGGGCUCUCCAAAAAGUACAUGGAAACCUCAGUAGACACACGCACACAUACAUGCAUAUACGCAAGCGUACACAACUUCCAGCCAGUUCGAAGCACACCGAUAGACCACUGAUACACGCAGUUGUACCACUACUGCAGCUCCUACAGUUCUCAGUGUAGCUCCGUGCCAGCUACGCCCUCGCACGCACGCACACACAAAGACACAGUAAGAGAGUCCUCUUUACUGCUUGCUUCAUGUCAGCCUUCACCACUCCGAGUCGCACGUCAUCGACCACCGCCGCGGCUGCUGGGACAGGGCACAGCGGCAGCGGCGGCAGAAACUCCGGCCGCCGCGUUGUACGCUCUGCUCUCGAGAUGCUGAUGGACACCACUUCCCCAGAGCUAGUAGGACUCCGUUCGCCAGCUGGCGGAAGCUCCGUGAAGCGUCCAGCCGCGGUCCCUGCCUCAUCCUUUUCCGUCACCUACGCCACGGCUCCUGCCGCUACGUCGGCGUCGUCACAGGCACACUCUACCGUGCGGAGUGUCUUGGCAAGCGCGCCAUCUGCCGCUGGUGCUGCUGCAUCCGCCGGCGCGGCGUCGGCCACCAUGGUGCACUCGCGCGCAGAGCCCAGCGCGCUGGAUUUCUUGUCACCGCGCGGUAAGGACGCGCGGGAGGCGCCUUUACAGCUUCGAUCUUCCGCCAAGUCUCGUCGCCCUCAUGGGCAUCGUGACCGCCCGCCCACCCCCGCGUCUGGGGCGAUGCUGCGGCCACCUGCUGCGCACCCUCCUCAUCGCCAGCGGUACAGAGAAGACGCAGUGCACGACAAGAGUGGCCUCGACGACCACGAAGCCGAUGCUGGCUGGGAUGGGGAUGCCUUCACGGCGCCGUCUUCAUCAGUUGCCACGACGCUCGCCCCUGCUUCACCGUCUCGCAGCCUCUACGCCGAUGUGGAGGCUGCCCGGCAGCCGCUGCCUCCAGCAGUCGAAACGCCUUCUAUGGGCUCCCACGCUCCCACCCCGGUGUCGUCGACGCCACAGUCUGCUGCGAAGGGCAGCCCUCAUGACAACAUCGCUGCGGAGAAGGAGCGGGCGCCGGAAGAGAGGGCAGGAGAUGAUGAUGAUGAUGAUGACGAGGCUGGCGCGGCGGUCCUCGUGACGCAUGCGGAGAUGGAAGCCGUUGUCGCCGCAGCUCUGCGCCGCUACGAGAAGGAGCGAGAUGCCGAGGAGGAGGCGGUGCUUCGGCAGGUCAGUAAGGAGGUCGAGGAACAGGCAAGCCGCUACGCCGACCUUGUCGAGGCCUACAACACCGUGUGCGCGGACCGGGUGACGUUGCAGGAGAAGCUCACCGAGGCAGCAGGGGAGUGCGAGGAGCUGAAACACGCGCUGCAGAAGGCGCGCCAGACGCAGCAGGCGCAGCAGGACUCCAUGAAGCGGCUGGAGGUGGAGUUGUGCCACGCAAGAGAUGCGCAGCAGCAGCAGCAGCGGCAGGAGGAGGAGCAGCGCAUGCUCGUGAAGGCAGCGGGGGCUGAUUGGGAGGCGCAGCGCGCACGCUAUGAGAAACAUCAGGACACGCUCGAGGCGCAGCUUCACCAGGCGCGCAAGGAGCUACAGGAGAUGGAAGCACGCGUGGCGACGCAGGACGACGAGCUCGCCGCGCUGCGAGAGCGCGCCGCGAAGGCGUCUGCCGAAACGGAGGACGAGUACGCCGACAUCCAUCUUCGGAUGCAUCAGCUGGCGCGGAACAUGGCCUCGAUGGAGGGUGCCCUGCGUGAGCGGGACGCUACCAUCGCAGAGCAGGCCGCACGGCUGCGUGAGGCCGCUGACCGGCAGGAGGCGGAGGUGCGUGCGGUGACUACGGAGAAGGAGAAGGCUGAGGCAGCCCUGACGAGCGCGCGUGACGCACUGCAACGGCAGACGGACGACAGUCGACGGCGCAUGCACCGCGUCACCGAACUUCAGCAGCAGAGGGAAGCGCUCAAGGAUGAGGUGAAGGUGGCGCUGCACACGCUGCAGGCGGCUUCAAAGGACCAGGGACGUGUGGUGCAGUCGUUACAGGAUGUGCUGUUCACCGUGAAGCAACGCCUUUUCUCCAGGACCGACGGUGCGGGACGUGUCAGGCCGCCGUCCCCCGCACUCUCCUCACGCAGCCGUCGCCAAUUUCCUGCCAAUUGGCGCAGAGAUCACAUGAACAGCACGCUUGUGUACGAGGGCGACCACGAUGAGAACGCGGAUGAUCUGCGUAGCUGCUCCGCGAUUUUGCAGUCGCACUCGCGCUCAAGCUCGGCGACGCGCACGCUGGAGCUGUCGUCUUCGGAAGACGACGAUGACGCACAAAGUGGGCGUCUUUUCUCGCGUGCAGCGGUGACCGCGAGGGAGGAGCACUGCAGCACCGCAUCCCCGAAGCCUCGCACCCACCGCGCAUCAUCACUCCCUCCACCCGCGGCGACGCCUGGCCAGCGGCGUGCGCGGACGUCGUCGCCGCCCCAGUCAGCAUGUGUGGCGACCCGGGCGGCACCGGCAAACAAUGUGAAGGGCAGCACCUCCGCGAGCCGCAUUUCGCACGAGCUGCGCCACCAAAGCAAGCAAGCGGUUCUCCUGUUGCGCGAGCUCCACCGGUGCGUCUCGUCUCUCCCCUCACAGAGGCGGAAGUCAUCGCCUGGGGGUGACGUCGCUCCCGCAGGCACCAGGGGCAGUGCUGACCGAUCUGGCGCGACUGCAGCGAAGCUCGAGCAGGCCUGCCGCUACCUCAAAUCGGAGCUUGGCCGGGCUCACGCAGCGCUGCAGGAGGCGCAGGCGGAGUGCCAGUGGCGCACGCUCUCCAUGAAGAAGUAUGAAGAGGAUGUGCAGGCUGCUCGCCGCGAGGUGCUUGCCGCGGAGAAACAGCGACUGGCAUGCGAGACGCAGGUUGAGACGGCUGCGCUUGUACGCGAGGAGCUGGAGGCACAGCUGACGGAGCUGAAGGCGACAUGUGCGGCGGUGACGGCUAAGCAGCGAGCAUCCGAGGACGCGGUGGCGGAGGCGAAGGCGGCCGCCGAGCGCAGCGCGGCCCUUGCGGAGGAGGCGGCGCAGCUGAAAGACGCUGCGGAGUCCGCCCUUGUGAGAGAGCAGGCCAAGGGUGCACGUCAGGCGACUGCACUCCGCGAUCACGCAGCGGCGCAGACAGCUCUUACGGAUGAGCUGGAUGAGCUAAAGGAGAAGCACAAGGCAGCCCUUGCGCAGCUGCAGACGUGCCACGCCCGUGAGGCGGUCCAGCUGCUGAAGCAGCAGCAGGAAGAGAGCCAAACGCGCGGGACGGCCGCGGAGGCGUGGAAGACGGAGCGAGCAUCCCUUGAAGCGCACAUCUCAAGCCUUGAGACGAAGCUGCGGGCCUCGACUGGGGCGACGAUGGCUGCCAAGCGCCGCUGCGCAACACUCGAAGAACAGCUUGCGCUACACCUGGAUGUGGAGAGGACUACCUUGAAGACGAUCGGCGACAUUGCCCACGCGCCCCCCUUUCCACUCUCGGUCGAUGCUGCAGUCGUCGGCGACAGCUCCUGCACGCCGCACUUCCACGGUGCCGUGUUGCCGACGGAGAAGCAGCUCUUCGGUGGCGAUGACGAGGCGCCAGAGGUGGAGGAAGUGUUCAUGGUGUCGGCAGAGGCAACGCCGACGAGGAAAGGCGUGCGCAAGGAGCUCGCAGGUGCGGUCUCGCACACGCGCACGACAACUGGCCGAACUACCGCACUGUCGCUGGUAUCAGCGCGCCUUUCCACGGCCGGCGCUACCUCUCCAAGCGUGGUGUCAUCAGCGGCCGUUUCACCGGCGCCGCCAGCAUCGUCGCCGCACCUUGGCGGCGCUUCCCUAGAGACGACAAACUCUUCCGCUAUAACUGCUCUCGCACCUCUACGCCAGCACAUCGUUGCCGCUGUGCAACAGUUGGCGCUGGAGGUGGUGCGCCUGCGGCAAGGUGCAGUACUAGCGUCCGUGAAGUCGCCCGUCAUAACGCAGCCUCGGACGACGACGCGCCGGCCUCGCGACAUAACGUGUGCGGAGGUGUGGUACGGCGGUGCAACGGCGCGCAACGGGGUCGUCGGCGGCGACGUCCCUGUCGAGUCCUGCCAAACGUGGGGCAGCAGCGGCGACGUGAAACGGCCGUCCGCCGUUACUCUUGGCCCCCCACCGCCUUUGGGGGCGUUCAUCGCGGCUCAGCCCCAGCGGCAGUACCAGCACCAGCAUCAGCCCCCACGCACGCCACACAGGGAGCACCCUUCCGCCGACUCUGUCGUCCAGACUCGAACGUCAGGGGAGGUUCCGCAAUCGGGUCAGCGUAGCGGCCGCAGCCAGAGCAGAAACCCACCGACGCCGUCGCAACCGUCGCCGCCUGCCGCAGCGGGCAGCCCCUCCGCAUCUUGCAGUCCGCCGGUGUCCGCUGCAACCGCCGCCGCAGCGGGUGAGCACAUAUACAAUGUCUCACCGUGGCCCCGUUUGCGGCCGCAGCGGUCGCUGUCGUCUUCGAGUCCGCCGGUUUCUCACUCGGCCGUUGCGGCCCACGGCAAACUCUGGAACGAGGCGCGGCGCUCUGCCUCCAUGAAGGAUGGGCUGUCGGGGUAUUCCUACAGCACUGGACGGGGGAGCGUCGAUGGAAGCUGCUCUCCAGCGCGGCCGCCGUCCCUGCGUGCCUUGUCGCUCCCUCGCUGAGCCGCCAAAAAAAAAACCUACUCAAUGAAGAAGUGCGUGGGUCUCUCUCUGUGUGUCUGUCUGUCUGUGUGUGUGUGUGUGUGUGUGUUCGUGUCAGACAGACAGACACAGACGGUGGCGCAGCACUGCUCUCAUGCCUCCUCCUCCCGCAAGGAUGGAGAAGGAAGGGGGGGGCAGAGCGGGGCAGUACGCCUCUCGUUUCCUUCCGUGCCGUCACCCGCGUGCCUUCUCUGGUUGUGGAGCAUAGAACUAG
rnacentral:misc_RNA from 1 species